CAUCUUGUGCUCAGUGGUGGCAGCAGCAUUCUCACCAAAUUUUUUCUACGGCAUGUUUUUGACCAUGGUUCUGGCCAGUAUCACUUCCGAGUUGGAUUUUCCCAGCGCUUCUGUGAGUGGCUUUUCAACAGCUCUGUUACUGCUUAAACUGGCAAGACCUGGCUUCUGUUGGGUGCAAAGAAUUCUGACUGAUCCGCAUUCCACUGGCUCUCAGCUGCAAAGCCCUCUGGGAAACAAAAACCUCAGGCUCUACCACAGAACGUCCUUAUUCGUGCUCCGAGGAAAUGAUUUGAGGAAUAACUCACAGCUAACAGAACAGCGGAACUCAACCUUGGAGGGCUUGCUGAGAGGGGCUGCUGGGAGCCCAAAGCCGUCACAACCUAACCCAGUGUCUUAGCUGCCAAAUACCCUCGUCAGCUAUUCUGAUCUCCCACACGGUGAGGACACAGCAAGAUGACCAUCCAUGAAACAGGAAGUGGGUUCUCACUAGACACAGAACCUGCAGGCACCCUGAUCUUGGACUUCCAACCUCCAGAACGCUCCUGGGCCCUCCAACGGCACUUUCUCUUUCCCACCCGCCACUGUCUAGUCAUCAGUCUGCAGCUCCCAGCCCCUGUGUCAUCUCCAGCUGUGCCCACCUCCUCUCCGUGCCACACCUCCCAUGGUCCCAGCAGCCCUGUCUUGAGAGGUCCCUGCUCCUCCUCCAGGCCCGCAAAGCCGAGUGUGACACCCACCACCACGCAGAGGACAUCUCGACAGUUGUCUGCUCAGUCAGCACUUGAUAAAAGGGUUGUUCAAUAAAAGGAAACAUUUCCAACUAAAUUAAAAAUAAUCCCAGCAGAGGGCUCAAGUAUUAAAUCUUUC